ACAAUAAGUUAUCAAACGAUAUUUAUAUUAUGUAUAGUAGUAAAAUAAAUAAUCUUAGAAAGUUGAAACUAUCUGUUUUCAAUAUUAUACUUAUAAUAAGUCAAUUUUAACUCGCGCAAAUUCGGUGGACAGUCACGACGUGGUCACUGUGAAGACAACCGUCAGUCGUCAAAGCAUAACGCCAUGACGAUGGCGCACCGGUUCCGGAAUUUUCGUUUUCAUCCACCUAAAACUUUCAACUUGAACCUACCUUAUACCGUGGCUAAAUAGACUAUUUAGCCAUGCUUAAUACGUUAUACGAUAUUAAUACACCGUGUGGUAAUAACCGAUCAAUAGUGGAAUGUUAUUUGUAUACAAAUAUAUGUUUUAUUCAUUUAAUAUUUGUUAUAUAAAUGCGUGCAUCAACAUGAAUAGCUCAGUAAAUGAAUUUGAUGAAAAGAAAGUGAAAUAUUGCAGAUUUAACAAGUAAUAAUUAUUCAUCUCAAAACAAAACAACUACAUCUCUUCCGAGAAGAUUUCCAGAAUUUCAUUACAAUUAACAGUCGACGAAUUUGCUUCUAGAAUGGAAUUUAGAAUCUGUAUACACAUCUUAUAUAGAUAUACUGUUAUACUAAUUUACACUGAACAAGGAACCUGUAAUAUUGAACAAGUUCCUAUUAUUCAAAACAUUGCUGGUCAAAAAGAUGCUAUAUCAAAAUACACAGUAUUUCUAUAAUUCUAAUGAGGUUGAUAUUGAUAUCCAAAGUAAAUAUACGGGCAAUUCAAAUUUAAAUACAAUUUUUGAAAAAUCAUUCAAUAUUACGCUUCACGAUUUGUCGCCAGAUUCAAAAAUAUUGGUUAUAAUAUAUUUUUUACCUAGUGUAUUCAUUCCUUUGCCAAAAAAUCCACUCAUGAUGAAUAUUGAAUAUGGUAGAAAAGGUUUUACCAAAUACAUUGUGCAAGAAUUAAUUAAUCAUGAAUUUUUUAUUGUGACACUAACUUCUGUGAACAUUGAAUCUAUACAAUAAGGUAUAUAUUGACUUUAACAGAAUAUACUAUAAAAAUUGAAGAAGUGUUUGUAUAAUGCAUUAAAAUAUUGAAUGAACGGAUAAAUGAUAAUGCCAACACACGAGAUUUAACCAAAAAUUCAAAAUAUCUGAUAGUUAUGUACUCGUUACAUAGUCUGCUAAUUCCUUGAUCAAGAAAAUUAACAUGAGAAGAGAAUUGAAAAAAAUACUAUGUACAAUAUGGAAUCAAUGAUUCCUAAAAUUCAACCAUAAAAUCUAAUAAAAAAACUAUUGGAUAGAGAAGCACUUUUAAAAUAGACGGCACAGUCUCUCUCUCAUCCAUAUUCCAGACCACGUCCCCUUAUUUUGUUAAAAAAGAAA